rnacentral:pre_miRNA from 1 species
ACACAUCACCACGAGACUUUCCAGUGUGCUUUGUCCUCACUCGCACACUUUUCGGGAAAACUUCCCGGAAAGUGUGCGAGUGANGACAAAGCACACUGGAAAGUCUCGUGGUGAUGUGUG